rnacentral:rRNA from 1 species
GAGUUUGAUCCUGGCUCAGGAUGAACGCUGGCGGCGUGCUUAACACAUGCAAGUCGAACGGGAAACCUUUUAUUGAAGCUUCGGCAGAUUUAGCUGGUUUCUAGUGGCGGACGGGUGAGUAACGCGUGGGUAACCUGCCUUAUACAGGGGGAUAACAGUCAGAAAUGACUGCUAAUACCGCAUAAGCGCACAGAGCUGCAUGGCUCGGUGUGAAAAACUCCGGUGGUAUAAGAUGGACCCGCGUUGGAUUAGCUAGUUGGUGAGGUAACGGCCCACCAAGGCGACGAUCCAUAGCCGGCCUGAGAGGGUGAACGGCCACAUUGGGACUGAGACACGGCCCAGACUCCUACGGGAGGCAGCAGUGGGGAAUAUUGCACAAUGGGGGAAACCCUGAUGCAGCGACGCCGCGUGAAGGAAGAAGUAUCUCGGUAUGUAAACUUCUAUCAGCAGGGAAGAAAAUGACGGUACCUGACUAAGAAGCCCCGGCUAACUACGUGCCAGCCGCCGCGGUAAUUC